rnacentral:lncRNA from 1 species
UCCCUCGCGGCCACUUGAAUGCGCUACGGCCGGGGAGAUGAUCGAUCUGACAUCUCCAAACAGCCAUUUUCCGGCGAGCGCAUGAUUCACAUGCCCAGCUCGGUUCUGUGGCCGGCUCCGGCAUCCCCUUCCUGGACGCCGGCGCCACCAAAUUCCUGGAUCCCGAUUUCUUGCACCUUCAGGUCAGGUGGCGACCACCAGAGGUGCUGUUAUAUACUACCUGCCGAAGAUCG